rnacentral:tRNA from 1 species
GGGUGCACGCCAGAGUUGGAGAGCUGGACCUGACUGUAAAUCAGGUGCUUUUGAGCUGAAUAGGUUCGAAUCCUAUUGCCCCCA